CUCAAAUAAUGUGUGACUACCCCCUAAA
rnacentral:rRNA from 1 species